rnacentral:misc_RNA from 1 species
GAUGAAGAACGUAGCGAAAUGCGAUAAGUAAUGUGAAUUGCAGAAUUCAGUGAAUCAUCGAAUCUUUGAACGCACAUUGCGCCCCCCAGUAUUCUGGCGGGCAUGCCUGUUCGAGCGUCAUUUCAACCAUCAAGCCCUGCUUGUGUUGGGGUCCUGCGGCUGCCCGCAGGCCCUGAAAACCAGUGGCGGGCUCGCUAGUCACGCCGAGCGCAGUAGCACAUCUCGCUCAGGGCGUGCGGCGGGCUCCAGCCGUUAAAGCACCCACCUUUCGCAAGGUUGACCUCGGAUCAGGUAGGAAUACCCGCUGAACUUAAGCAUAUCAAUAAGCGGAGGA